rnacentral:tRNA from 1 species
GGCGGGGUAGCUCAGCUGGUUAGAGCAGAGGAAUCAUAAUCCUUGUGUCGGGGGUUCAAAUCCCUCCCCUCGCUACCA